UUUUUUUUUUUUUUUUUUUUUUUUGUCUUUUUGCCAUUUCUUGGGCCGCUCCCAUGACAUAUGGAGGUUCCCAGGCUAGGGGUCUAAUUGGAGCUGUAGCUGCCAGCCUACACCAGAGCCACAGCAACACGGGAUCCGAACUGCGUCUGCAACCUACACCACAGCUCAUGGCAACUCCGGAUCAUUAACCCACUGAGCAAGGGCAGGGAUCGAUCCCACAACCUCAUGGUUCCUAGUCGGAUCCAUCAACCACUGUGCCAUGAGAUUUUCCCUACAGCGUCUUUUUUUUUUUUUCAUCAUGUUUAAAAAAUUCCUCCUCAAACCAGUACCUUGUAUGGUACUUCUUCUUCUGGCUGACUUCCUCAUUAGUGUCCCUGUCAUUUUGGCUCAAUACUCUUAAGUCACUUUUAGUUUCUUUCUCUUUCAGACCCACAAUAAUCCAGCUGUCAAGGGCUGUUUGUUUCUUCUCUCACAGAUUGGCUUGCAUCCAUCCUUUCUACUCUAUUUCCAGAGAUCAGUGCCUUUAAAGAGUUGCAGAAGUCUCUAAGUGUUUUUCUUCUCUGCGAGCUCUUCUUUUGUCUCUCAGUCCAGCCUAUGUCCCACUGCUUGAUGAACCUUUCAAAGACUCAUCUCUGAUCAUGUUUCCUCUUCUCUAAUGCUACCAGUGGCUACUUGGUGGCCAUAAACUGAUGCAAGUUCCUUAGCCUGGCACAUAGGGUCCCUGACAGUCUGGUUACUCACUUCCUAGCAUUGGUGUCCUCAGUAUUCCUACAUACCAUCAACUUGAUUUUUCUUUUUAGUCCCUGGGAAACACAUGGCCCCAAAUUGCCUUUGUUUGUUCCUCUGUGUUUUCCUUCUUCCUGGGAUCCCCACCUUCCCAUUCUCAGUGUUCUGAAAUCUUGUGUUUAGGAUUCAAAGCCUGGCUUUGCUGGUGACUAGCCAUGUAACUUUGAAAUAUCAUUUAACCUCUCUGAACCUUGGAUUACUCAUUGGUUAAUGGGGAUAAUAUUAUCAUGUUAUAGGGAUAUUUAUGAAAACAACUAACAUAGCGCUUGUGUCAUAAACGUAGAGUUUUAUUACUGCUCCCAUCACCCCAUCACCUCAACCAAAAGUAAUGUUUGCUUCCUCUGAAUACCUCCUUUAUUACCUAUAGGCUCUUGUUUUAUAUGGCUUGCACUACAUUAUAUUUCAGAAGAUUGUAUCAUCAUUAACUACAUCGAAUGUUCCUUGAAGUUGGACAUCAAGUAUUACAUAUCUUUAUUCAUCAAAGAUUUGUUGGGUAUUUCAUUUGUGCUUCAUGGUAUGGUAGGGGCUAGCAAUAUAAGAAUGACAAAAGAUUUAGUUCCUAUUGUCAAAAGACUUACACAAGAUCUAAUUAUCUUUGUAUGCUACCCAGACUUAGUUAAGAUAAGCUUAGAGUAGGAAUAUGUGACUCAUCUCAGAAUUCUGGAUGGCAUUCUGAGGAAAUGACAUCUAAAAUGAGGCAGGAAGAGUGUAGGUACCAGCUAGGUGCAGUUGGGGGGGUGCAGUGUUGCAGGAUGAAUAAGAGAGAGUGUCCAGUGCAGAAAAAAGCAUGUUUAUAUACAAGGAGGGGAAGCAGAACAAAAUGUUCUGUAAAUUACAGAACAAAAUAGCUGUGAUCUUGGUUUUGAAGGAGAACUAGCUGGAGAUAAAACUUGGAAGGUAAGCCAAGGCUGGAUCAUGAAGAAUUUUUCAGUUAUUUCUACAUUAACAGUGCCCAGUAUUGUGCCUGCAUCUGGUAGAUUCAGUAAAUUGUGUUUCUAACCUGUUUAUAAAGAGCGGAUGCACAUGAUUUAGUCAGUAUUUACAGUCAAGGAAACCCAGUUUGGCAAGAGAACAAAGUUUCAAAAAUGCUGAAACCCUUUACUUGGAUUUUUCAGAAAGUGUAAAGGGGAGCCACGUAUCUAAUCCAGGCUACAUUUAUAAACAGUCAAGUGACAAAACUAAAAUGAUUUAGCCAUGAGUUUGAUGUCCUUUAAUCAUGGGAAAACCAUCCAUGGAUUAAGGGGUACAGUGUAGAGCAGUGGAGCAUCCUUCCUGAGGGAUUUUGGGCAAGGGGGAGUUUUAUAGAACAUUGGAAAUGGGACAUGAUUGACUAGGAGAUAAGGGAUCUUUUUGAAAGAUAAGCAGGUUGUUUUCUAGGAUAAGGUGAGCUCUCCAAAGCUGAGUUGGAGGAUUAUGAUUGGUGUGCGUAUUAGAUUUUCUUGACAGGUGUUUCUCACAAGUGUGGGCUGACCGGGGUCUAGAUUUGUGACCUUGCAGGGGUGCUGGGCUAGCCUUCAUUUUGUGGGUUUUGGUGUACAAAUUAACUUUAUCCAAACCAACAAAUAAACAAACAAUCCUUCUGCUCCUAGCUACUUCCAUAUAUGAUGUCUAUUAUUUACUAAAAGUAAAAACUGAAACGGAAGACAUCCUCUCUCCUUCACCAGAUGAUACUUUGUCCUUCUGUUUCCUCAGUACUUUGUCACACAGCUAAAUUUAACCUCUCUCCAACCCUCCUCUCCAUCUCUCAAUCCAAUUUCACAAAAAGUCUAGAGAAACUGAAUUGGAAGAAACUGAACACAGGUGACCACAGGUUAACAAUGACUGUCCAAACAAAUGUUGGGAAUGAGUGAUCCAUUCUCUGAAAAAACCAGAGGCUGCUUCUGAGAAGCCCGAAGCCCUGUGUGUGCUGAACUCUCAGUCUGCCUUAGAAACUCAUCCUUCCAUUUCCAAAAGAAAUUUUCUCAUUCAGAUUCUGUUUCCCACCUCCCUCCGUUCCAUUAUUUCUCCCAAACCUUGAAUCAUAAACUUCAAGAAAGCAUUGUGAAUAAUUUAUAUCCUUUUAUUACUUAUUGCCUAAUUCCCUUUGGGGGAAAUGAAGAGAAACAUUAGUCUUUUGCUGCUUUUUCUCCUGUGGACUGAGACUGUGUCAGCUGCAGGCUAUAGCAAAGAUUUAUGACCACAGGAGCUGUCAUUACAGAACAGUUGAUUGACCUGUAGUUUUGAUUAACCAAAAUAUUUUUUUAAAAAAAUUCAGGAACAGUACUAAUGACACUGGAAUAGAAAGUCAACAUUUUACCAACUUCUAUUGAAACCUGCUUGUUACCAUCUUUCUUUUCAAUGCUCAUUGGUGACUGUUUCCUUCCCUGCCUACUUAAUUGGUUUUCCUGUGGUGUCUUUCUCAGAAUAUGUAAAUUCAAGUGCAGAGCUAUGUUGACUCAGAGUGCAUGGUGGUACUCUGCUGCUAGGAUGAGGGAGUCUAGCUGGAUGUGUUCAGGUCCUGUUUAGUUUGGUCUUUCUAAAUGUCUUAGCUUCACAGAAUAAGUAAUGAUAGUUAAUAUCUCUCUUGGGCCAUUGCAACGCCUCUGGAACAUUGGGUUGGUCCCAUAGCAAGUAUAGUUGGAAUGUAUCACCUUUACACAGUCACCUCUACCACCAUACCAUGCAAGGGCAAAUUACUAUCCCUCCUAGAUUUCUGUAGUCCAGGAGGUCUAGAAUGACUGGCCUACCUCAACACACUCUGCCUCCCUUCUACCCAAAUCCAUUUUUUUCAAAUAAAUGAAAAAAAUACAUAAAUACAGUCAUAUCAGCGACUACCACUAUACC
rnacentral:lncRNA from 1 species